rnacentral:lncRNA from 1 species
AUGAAUUCCAGGUCUGUGGCCUGUGCUUCCUAGAUUUUUAUAAAGAUAUCUGGUAUGGCUCGGAUCUGGGCGAGAUAGGUGCCCUUACUGUAAUAGCUAAGGUGGAGUGAUUGUACAGUGUCCAUCAUCUUCCAACUAGAGGCUAUGGUUUGAGCUAGCACAUCAGGCUCCUUUUGACUUAGCACAUCGGCGGCUACUUUCCCUCUCCCAAGGUGAUAGACGAUCUAGAAAUUGUAAUCCUUCAGAAGAUCCAUCCAACAUUUUUGCCUCAUG